rnacentral:rRNA from 1 species
GACGAACGCUGGCGGCGUGCUUAACACAUGCAAGUCGAACGGUAAGGCUCCAGCUUGCUGGGGUACACGAGUGGCGAACGGGUGAGUAACACGUGGGUGACCUGCCCUGCACUUCGGGAUAAGCCUGGGAAACUGGGUCUAAUACCGGAUAGGACCGCACCGUGAGGGUGUGGUGGAAAGUUUUUUCGGUGUGGGAUGGGCCCGCGGCCUAUCAGCUUGUUGGUGGGGUAAUGGCCUACCAAGGCGGCGACGGGUAGCCGGCCUGAGAGGGUGGACGGCCACAUUGGGACUGAGACACGGCCCAGACUCCUACGGGAGGCAGCAGUGGGGAAUAUUGCACAAUGGGCGGAAGCCUGAUGCAGCGACGCCGCGUGGGGGAUGACGGCCUUCGGGUUGUAAACUCCUUUCACCAGCGACGAAGGGUUUCUGACGGUAGAUGGAGAAGAAGCACCGGCUAACUACGUGCCAGCAGCCGCGGUAAUACGUAGGGUGCGAGCGUUGUCCGGAAUUACUGGGCGUAAAGAGCUCGUAGGUGGUUUGUCGCGUCGUCUGUGAAAUUCCGGGGCUUAACUCCGGGCGUGCAGGCGAUACGGGCAUAACUUGAGUACUGUAGGGGAGACUGGAAUUCCUGGUGUAGCGGUGAAAUGCGCAGAUAUCAGGAGGAACACCGGUGGCGAAGGCGGGUCUCUGGGCAGUAACUGACGCUGAGGAGCGAAAGCAUGGGGAGCGAACAGGAUUAGAUACCCUGGUAGUCCAUGCCGUAAACGGUGGGCGCUAGGUGUGGGUUUCCUUCCACGGGAUCCGCGCCGUAGCUAACGCAUUAAGCGCCCCGCCUGGGGAGUACGGCCGCAAGGCUAAAACUCAAAGGAAUUGACGGGGGCCCGCACAAGCGGCGGAGCAUGUGGAUUAAUUCGAUGCAACGCGAAGAACCUUACCUGGGCUUGACAUAUACAGGAUCGCGCCAGAGAUGGUGUUUCCCUUGUGGCUUGUAUACAGGUGGUGCAUGGUUGUCGUCAGCUCGUGUCGUGAGAUGUUGGGUUAAGUCCCGCAACGAGCGCAACCCUUGUCUUAUGUUGCCAGCACGUUGUGGUGGGGACUCGUAAGAAACUGCCGGGGUUAACUCGGAGGAAGGUGGGGAUGACGUCAAAUCAUCAUGCCCCUUAUGUCCAGGGCUUCACACAUGCUACAAUGGUCGGUACAGUGGGUUGCCAGUCCGUGAGGGCGAGCUAAUCCCGCAAAGCCGGUCUCAGUUCGGAUCGGGGUCUGCAACUCGACCCCGUGAAGUCGGAGUCGCUAGUAAUCGCAGAUCAGCAACGCUGCGGUGAAUACGUUCCCGGGCCU